rnacentral:rRNA from 1 species
CCUACGGGAGGCAGCAGUGGGGAAUAUUGCACAAUGGGGGAAACCCUGAUGCAGCGACGCCGCGUGAGUGAAGAAGUAAUUCGUUAUGUAAAGCUCUAUCAGCAGGGAAGAAAAUGACGGUACCUGAGUAAUACGCCCCGGCUAACUACGUGCCAGCAGCCGCGGUCAUACGUAGGGGGCAAGCGUUAUCCGGAUUUACUGGGUGUAAAGGGAGCGUAGACGGCAGUGCAAGUCUGGGGUGAAAGGCGGUGGCUCAACCACAGGACUGCUCUGGAAACUGUACGGCUGGAGUGCAGGAGAGGUAAGUGGAAUUCCUGGUGUAGCGGGGAAAUGCGUAGAUAUUAGGAGGAACACCAGUGGCGAAGGCGGCUUACUGGACUGUAACUGACGUUGAGGCUCGAAAUCGUGGGGAGCAAACAGGAUUAGAUACCCCAGUAGUC